UACUAUAGCUUGACACUGAACAUUGAGCCUUGAUGUGUAGGAUAGGUGGGAGGCUUAGAAGUGUGGACGCCAGUCUGCAUGGAGCCGGCCUUGAAAUACCACCCUUUAAUGUUUGAUGUUCUAACGUGGACCCGUAAUCCGGGUUGCGGACAGUGUCUGGUGGGUAGUUUGACUGGGGCGGUCUCCUCCUAAAGAGUAACGGAGGAGCACGAAGGUUGGCUAAUCCUGGUCGGACAUCAGGAGGUUAGUGCAAUG
rnacentral:rRNA from 1 species